rnacentral:rRNA from 1 species
CUUAACACAUGCAAGUCUAACGAAAAUUUAUAUUUUCGUGGCGAACGGGUGAGUAUAUACAGAAUUUUUCCUUUCAGUUUUGAACAAAAAUUUCUUUUUAGAAAUCAAAUUCAAAAUAUUAUAAAGGUUUACUUUUUAAGUGUUCCGCUGAAAGAUAAAUCUGUUAAAGAUUAGGUUGUUGGUAAUUUAAAAGCUUACCAAGCCGAUGAUCUUUAGUUGGUCUUAGAGGAUGAUCAACCACACUGGAACUGAAAUAAGGUCCAGGCUGACAUGUCGGCCAGCAGUGAGGAAUAUUGGACAAUGAACGAAAGUUUGAUCCAGCAAUACUAAUUGGGUGAUGACGGCUUAUUUAAGUUGUAAGAUCCUUUAAAUUAAAGAAGAUAAUGACAUUAUUUAAUUGAACUAGUCCUGGCUAAUACUCGUGCCAGCAGCCGCGGUAAUACGGGAAGGGCAAGCGUUAUCCGGCAUGACUGGGCGUAAAGAGUCCGUAAACUGUAAAGUAAGUUUCUUGUUUAAUUUUAAAACUUAAUUUUAAAACAGCAAUUAAUACU